rnacentral:rRNA from 1 species
UGGGGAAUCUUGGACAAUGGGGGCAACCCUGAUCCAGCCAUGCCGCGUGAGUGAUGAAGGCCUUAGGGUCGUAAAGCUCUUUCGCCUGUGAAGAUAAUGACGGUAGCAGGUAAAGAAACCCCGGCUAACUCCGUGCCAGCAGCCGCGGUAAUACGGAGGGGGUUAGCGUUGUUCGGAAUUACUGGGCGUAAAGCGCACGUAGGCGGACCAGAAAGUUGGGGGUGAAAUCCCGGGGGCUCAACCCCCGAACUGCCUCCAAAACUAUUGGUCUAGAGUUCGAGAGAGGUGAGUGGAAUUCCAAGUGUAGAGGUGAAAUUCGUAGAUAUUUGGAGGAACACCAGUGGCGAAAGGCGGCUCACUGGCUCGAUACUGACGCUGAGGUGCGAAAAGUGUGGGGAGCAAAACAGGAUUAGAUACCCUGGUAGUCCACACCGUAAAACGAUGAAUGCCAGUCGUCGGGUAGCAUGCUAUUCGGUGACACACCUAACGGAUUAAGCAUUCCGCCUGGGGAGUACGGUCGCAAGAUU